GCCAGAGUAGCUCAACGGCAGAGCGCUCGUCCGGUAUGCGAGAGGUCGUCACGGGCUCGAUCCCGGCCUGGCU